UGAGAGCGCGGCCCGCCCACCGGGUCACAUGGCUGGGAGCCGAGCAGAGGAUCAAAGGGGCUUUGUGGCCGAGGAACAAGGAGCCUCCCAGAGCGCGGGCAGAGGCGCCCUGCCAGAGCUGGGGGAGCAUCCCGGGGAGGCCCUGGACAUCUAGAGCCCCUGUGCGCAUCUCAGUGGGAGGGAGGCCGUGGUGGAUCGGAGACACGGGCUUCAAAGUCAGAACCGGAUGGAGGCCCCUGCGCUCGCACCAGCUUUGGCCCAUUACUCAACGUCUGCUGGCCAGGAACUUCCCCAACUGUAAAAUGGGCAUAAUCAACUCCAGCCACAAGAACUACAGCAAGACAUGUGCGUCCAGAACCAGGAAGGGCAGCCACUCAAAAAACAUACUCUUUUCCUCUAAGAAGGUGGUUUCCUGGGGCAGAGAGUAGGGAGGGUCCAGGCCCUUCCAACUCCCCUGCGCACUUAGCUGGGACCUCGUCACUGGGCCCUAAAAGGCAGCUCCAGGAAUCAGCAGCAGAGGCCAGGCGGCGUCAGAGUUAACUCAGAGAUGCCACCUCCCCUCCACGCCUGCCCUGGCAGCCUCCUCGGCCCUGAGCACUCUCCUUAGAACCUCCUUCUAGCCUCUGUCCCUCCAGCCUUCUGGCCCCAGAGUCCACUCCCAGGGCCUACCCUCCUUCCUGGGCGCCACAUGGGCAAACCAACUGCUCUCCAAGCCCAGCCCUCACCCUGCCCGCCCUCUCCCCCCACCCCCAGAUCUCUGGGCCCAGGAGGCGACCUGGGUGCUUUAUACACAGAACACACUCCUCUUGUGACAUUCUCUCACUCGGCACAGAUGGGGGCCCCCAGAGCACAGAAGAGGGAAUCCCUGCACCCGACAAGCCCCCAGUCCAGGGGCUUUUUCAACACAGAACACCUGCCCUCUGGACACACUCGACAUCCAAAGAGAACAGCCUGGACUGCGCAGCUGCCCAUCCAGUCCUCCAGCCUCCCAAGACAGGCUGGCCACAGACGGAGUUUUCAAGUUUCUAGUAGACACCGUAAAAAAAAAAAAAAAAAAAAGUAAGAAA